rnacentral:rRNA from 1 species
CCUACGGGGGGCUGCAGUGGGGAAUAUUGGACAAUGGGCGAAAGCCUGAUCCAGCCAUGCCGCGUGUGUGAAGAAGGCCUUCGGGUUGUAAAGCACUUUCAGUGGGGAAGAAAGCCUAGGGGCUAAUACCCUCGAGGAAGGACAUCACCCACAGAAGAAGCACCGGCUAACUCCGUGCCAGCAGCCGCGGUAAUACGGAGGGUGCGAGCGUUAAUCGGAAUUACUGGGCGUAAAGCGCGCGUAGGCGGUCUGAUAAGCCGGUUGUGAAAGCCCCGGGCUCAACCUGGGAACGGCAUCCGGAACUGUCAGGCUAGAGUGCAGGAGAGGAAGGUAGAAUUCCCGGUGUAGCGGUGAAAUGCGUAGAGAUCGGGAGGAAUACCAGUGGCGAAGGCGGCCUUCUGGACUGACACUGACGCUGAGGUGCGAAAGCGUGGGUAGCAAACAGGAUUAGAUACCCCGGUAGUC